AGUCCCGUGGUAGAGAAUAUAUUAGAUUGCAAAUCUAAAGACGCAGAUUAACGUCUGCCGGGGCUU
rnacentral:tRNA from 1 species